GAAACAGUGGGAUUCCCGAUGUCUGGCAGUAGCAGAAAGAAACGGUCGGUGUCAUGCUUAUGCAAGAAAACGCUUGGUUUUUUAUGAUUAUGGCUUCAAAAUUAUAUAGUGAACCGUUAUAUCCACUAAUUAUUAGAUACAUUGUAAGCAUUAAAAAAUAAUGCUUCCUUAUAUAUAAUAAAAUAAUUUUUAUUUAUAAGGAGGUGAAACUCAUGUUUUAAAAGAGAACAUUGCAUAUGCACAAGAUGUACCUAAUAAUCUCUUCGUUAUAUCAAUUAGGAAUCUUAGUUGGUAUGACAAUUCAAUAACAUAAUAACGUGAAAACGCUAACAAAAUAAUAUCAUGCUUGCCAAUUGAGUGAAAGUUUAGGACCUUUAGGUAGCAGGAUGUGGGGGCCAGUGUUUAGAGGUGGUGAGUGGGGAAUUUAUUUAGGGCAAAUUAAAAAAAAAAAAUUACUUUGUGAUUAUGCAAUUUUUAAGUAAGAUUCUGAGGUUAGCAAAUGGAGGAAUUUAUAUAAAUAUAAAUGUGGUUUAAAAAUGCUGAUAGAAAAUUUUAUUAUUUAAAUAUUAUU
rnacentral:misc_RNA from 1 species